rnacentral:rRNA from 1 species
AUUGAACGCUGGCGGCAGGCCUAACACAUGCCAGUCGAGCGGAUGAAGGGAGCUUGCUCCUGGAUUCAGCGGCGGACGGGUGAGUAAUGCCUAGGAAUCUGCCUGGUAGUGGGGGAUAACGUCCGGAAACGGGCGCUAAUACCGCAUACGUCCUGAGGGAGAAAGUGGGGGAUCUUCGGACCUCACGCUAUCAGAUGAGCCUAGGUCGGAUUAGCUAGUUGGUGGGGUAAAGGCCUACCAAGGCGACGAUCCGUAACUGGUCUGAGAGGAUGAUCAGUCACACUGGAACUGAGACACGGUCCAGACUCCUACGGGAGGCAGCAGUGGGGAAUAUUGGACAAUGGGCGAAAGCCUGAUCCAGCCAUGCCGCGUGUGUGAAGGAGGUCUUCGGAUUGUAAAGCACUUUAAGUUGGGAGGAAGGGCAGUAAGUUAAUACCUUGCUGUUUUGACGUUACCAACAGAAUAAGCACCGGCUAACUUCGUG